GACCUCGCCUAAAUUCUAUUGUAAUAGACACAAACCUCCCCUAAAGUCUAUUGAAUAGACAAACAUCUCCCCUCUAAACUUACACCGUUUAUUAGUCUGUUAAUUUUAUUAUGAUGAUAAUCUCUCUCCACUGAAACCUUGAAUAUUGUAUCAUUGUUCGAACCUUCUCAAACCAUUUUUCCUAUUUUAAAUCUACUAUUAUUAGUUUUCAAUUGAAGAAUAAUCA
rnacentral:lncRNA from 1 species